rnacentral:lncRNA from 1 species
AACCACAACUGUAAUGUCAGGGGACAGAUAGUCACGGCCAGUGACGGCAGCCCAAGCGCCUCUCGCUGAGGUCAGUCCCUUCCACUUCCACACCUGCCUCCCGCCUGGAGGGCUUCUCCACACCCAGGCCCUGCCUGCCGCCCGCUCCCACCUGGCCCCGCCACUAGGUGUUGCGACACAGGUGAUCCCUUAAGAGCUGGUGGGUGGGGGAAGACCCACCAAGGCCCGCCCCCACCAGCAGGUGCUGAGCUAGAUAAGACCCUGCGAACUGGAGGCCGAAAUACACUCUGCCUGCCCAAGCCGCUCCUGAAGCUAAGGAGCAGCUGACUCGUACAGCUAGCCGUCUUUAUCUUCUGUGGUCUCCAGGCUGCCUCAUCCCCACUCUUCCUCACCAGGCCCAGAGGACAGCAGAAGUGUGUGAAUCUUAAUCCACAAAACCCAGGUCCAACCCCGCAGGGAGAGGGAACGCCCACAGGCUGGAGCAGGUGCACGAGGGUCUUCAGUGACACAGCCACCGAAUCGGGGGAGACGCUGGAGGUGAGCCGACAGCCCGGGGAAGGCAGAGCGACGCGGGGCGGGGCCGCCUGGCACUGCUGCCGGAGCCAGGAGCUGGUUCCUGAAACAAUCUUUCACUCAUCACACCUGCAGGACUCUAAGUGGAGGAUCCAGCUUCCCGCUUUACCCACGCAGAAGGGGCUCGCCGGUCACAUCAUCCUCGAAAGAAAAACAGCACACAGAUCUUAACUGAGAGACCUGCCAAGCCCCCGGACCAGCACUGCCCUUAGCUGUCAAGGUCAACAACCAGGGCAGUAUGCACACUGGCACGGGCCAGCGGAGCAGAGAGGGCCGGGGCAGAGCAGAGGUGGAGCAGAGGCAGUGAGGUGGAGGGGCGGCAGGGGGCGAGACUAGCCCCUGCAGAAAGGGGCCCAGACGCAGACGUGAGAGUGUUAAUUAACAACAGAAGGCCAGCGCAGCGCUUACUAGGCUAAUCCUCCACUUGCGGCGCCGGCACACCGGGUUCUAGUCCCAGCUGGGGCGCCGGUUCUGUCCCAGUUGCUCCUCUUCC